GCUAAACAUAUGAGAAAAAAGGGUGAUGAGUGAAUGAUCAUAAAAAAUGAAAUAAUUGUUUUCACUAUAUAUUCUCUGUAAUCCUUUACACAGUUGGUAUUUCAUUGAAAAAAGAACUGAUAGAGGGCCUUGAGCUUGCCUUCGAUGUGGUCAUAAUCAGGUAUUUUCUUUGUGUGUGACAGGGUCUCAGUUCAUAGAUAUGAACAAAUCAUUGAAUGCUUCCCUGGAAGAGUUCGGUGGCUCACUAAGGGAUAUACCAUGGAAGGCAUUUUUUCAGACCCCAGCAGUAUGGGCAAUGAUAUAUGCUCAUUUUUGUGGAAGUUGGGGCCACUAUACUUGUCUAGCUUGGCUUCCUACAUUUUUUAGUGAGGAGCUGAAUCUAAAUUUGACAGAAGCUGCUUGGGUUUCAAUCCUUCCUCCUCUGGCUUCAAUUUUCGUAACAAGCACGGCAGCACAGUUAGCUGACAAUUUAAUUUCUAAUGGAGUUCAAACCACCAAGGUGCGGAAGAUUUGCCAAACAAUUGCUUUUAUGUCUCCUGCAGUCUGCAUGAUAUUAUCUUCUCUGGAUUUAGGAUUGCAACCUUGGGAAAUUGUGGGUAUUCUCACUGGUGGCUUGGCUCUCUCGAGUUUUGCCUUGUCAGGACUCUAUUGUACCCAUCAAGAUAUGUCACCUGAAUAUGCAAGUAUUCUUCUGGGUAUUACCAACACUGUUGGUGCAGUACCAGGAAUUAUUGGUGUUGCCCUCACUGGUUUUCUUCUCGAUUCAACUCAUUCAUGGAGUAUUUCACUUUUUGCACCGUCGAUAUUCUUCUACUUGACUGGUACAGUUGUAUGGUUGGCAUUUGCAAGCAGUAAGCCACAAGCGUUUUCCAAGAGAGACUGACCUUCUCUCCUUCUCUUUUUGGCUGGCUUUUCAUGGAGAUACUUUCUAAAGCUACCUAACUGCAGCCAGGGAGAACAAUACUGGGCAUAUGAACAAAUACAAUCGAAAAAGGACCAACAGUUAUUGGCAAUGUUGAAUUUACAUGAACAGGCUCCAAAGAAGGUUGAUCAGCAGAACUGUGAUCCCUUUCUGCAAGAUGAAAACGUAAUCAGAGCACUGGAAGAGAUAAUCCUUCUACUGAUUUAAGUUCAGAACUUAUUUUUUUAGUCCGAGAAGAUCGAGAUAGUGUUUGUUUAGUGUGCAAGUUACUAUAACAGUAUAACUUAAGAACUUGGUACAUGAUAGGAAUGUGCUGUAAAUAAGAAAAAAGUUUCUAUUGGUCGAAGUUCGGGAUAGACUUUGAUAACCGGGAGAAUACACUCAUCUAUUAUAUAUUUCAUCCA